CCUUUUGUAUAAUGGGUCAGCGACUUAUAUUCUGUAGCAAGGUUAACCGAAUAGGGGAGCCGAAGGGAAACCGAGUCUUAACUGGGCGUUAAGUUGCAGGGUAUAGACCCGAAACCCGGUGAUCUAGCCAUGGGCAGGUUGAAGGUUGGGUAACACUAACUGGAGGACCGAACCGACUAAUGUUGAAAAAUUAGCGGAUGACUUGUGGCUGGGGGUGAAAGGCCAAUCAAACCGGGAGAUAGCUGGUUCUCCCCGAAAGCUAUUUAGGUAGCGCCUCGUGAAUUCAUCUCCGGGGGUAGAGCACUGUUUCGGCAAGGGGGUCAUCCCGACUUACCAACCCGAUGCAAACUGCGAAUACCGGAGAAUGUUAUCACGGGAGACACACGGCGGGUGCUAACGUCCGUCGUGAAGAGGGAAACAACCCAGACCGCCAGCUAAGGUCCCAAAGUCAUGGUUAAGUGGGAAACGAUGUGGGAAGGCCCAGACAGCCAGGAUGUUGGCUUAGAAGCAGCCAUCAUUUAAAGAAAGCGUAAUAGCUCACUGGUCGAGUCGGCCUGCGCGGAAGAUGUAACGGGGCUAAACCAUGCACCGAAGCUGCGGCAGCGACACUAUGUGUUGUUGGGUAGGGGAGCGUUCUGUAAGCCUGUGAAGGUGUGCUGUGAGGCAUGCUGGAGGUAUCAGAAGUGCGAAUGCUGACAUAAGUAACGAUAAAGCGGGUGAAAAGCCCGCUCGCCGGAAGACCAAGGGUUCCUGUCCAACGUUAAUCGGGGCAGGGUGAGUCGACCCCUAAGGCGAGGCCGAAAGGCGUAGUCGAUGGGAAACAGGUUAAUAUUCCUGUACUUGGUGUUACUGCGAAGGGGGGACGGAGAAGGCUAUGUUGGCCGGGCGACGGUUGUCCCGGUUUAAGCGUGUAGGCUGGUUUUCCAGGCAAAUCCGGAAAAUCAAGGCUGAGGCGUGAUGACGAGGCACUACGGUGCUGAAGCAACAAAUGCCCUGCUUCCAGGAAAAGCCUCUAAGCAUCAGGUAACAUCAAAUCGUACCCCAAACCGACACAGGUGGUCAGGUAGAGAAUACCAAGGCGCUUGAGAGAACUCGGGUGAAGGAACUAGGCAAAAUGGUGCCGUAACUUCGGGAGAAGGCACGCUGAUAUGUAGGUGAGGUCCCUCGCGGAUGGAGCUGAAAUCAGUCGAAGAUACCAGCUGGCUGCAACUGUUUAUUAAAAACACAGCACUGUGCAAACACGAAAGUGGACGUAUACGGUGUGACGCCUGCCCGGUGCCGGAAGGUUAAUUGAUGGGGUUAGCGCAAGCGAAGCUCUUGAUCGAAGCCCCGGUAAACGGCGGCCGUAACUAUAACGGUCCUAAGGUAGCGAAAUUCCUUGUCGGGUAAGUUCCGACCUGCACGAAUGGCGUAAUGAUGGCCAGGCUGUCUCCACCCGAGACUCAGUGAAAUUGAACUCGCUGUGAAGAUGCAGUGUACCCGCGGCAAGACGGAAAGACCCCGUGAACCUUUACUAUAGCUUGACACUGAACAUUGAGCCUUGAUGUGUAGGAUAGGUGGGAGGCUUUGAAGUGUGGACGCCAGUCUGCAUGGAGCCGACCUUGAAAUACCACCCUUUAAUGUUUGAUGUUCUAACGUUGACCCGUAAUCCGGGUUGCGGACAGUGUCUGGUGGGUAGUUUGACUGGGGCGGUCUCCUCCUAAAGAGUAACGGAGGAGCACGAAGGUUGGCUAAUCCUGGUCGGACAUCAGGAGGUUAGUGCAAUGGCAUAAGCCAGCUUGACUGCGAGCGUGACGGCGCGAGCAGGUGCGAAAGCAGGUCAUAGUGAUCCGGUGGUUCUGAAUGGAAGGGCCAUCGCUCAACGGAUAAAAGGUACUCCGGGGAUAACAGGCUGAUACCGCCCAAGAGUUCAUAUCGACGGCGGUGUUUGGCACCUCGAUGUCGGCUCAUCACAUCCUGGGGCUGAAGUAGGUCCCAAGGGUAUGGCUGUUCGCCAUUUAAAGUGGUACGCGAGCUGGGUUUAGAACGUCGUGAGACAGUUCGGUCCCUAUCUGCCGUGGGCGCUGGAGAACUGAGGGGGGCUGCUCCUAGUACGAGAGGACCGGAGUGGACGCAUCACUGGUGUUCGGGUUGUCAUGCCAAUGGCACUGCCCGGUAGCUAAAUGCGGAAGAGAUAAGUGCUGAAAGCAUCUAAGCACGAAACUUGCC
rnacentral:rRNA from 1 species